CCGACGGGUGAGUAACACGUAUGCAAUCCACCUGUAACAGGGGAUAACCCGGAGAAAUCCGGACUAAUACCCCAUAAUAUGGGCGCUCCGCAUGGAGAGUCCAUUAAAGAGAGCAAUCUUGGUUACAGACGAGCAUGCGCUCCAUUAGCCAGUUGGCGGGGUAACGGCCCACCAAGGCGACGAUGGAUAGGGGUUCUGAGAGGAAGGUCCCCCACAUUGGAACUGAGACACGGUCCAA
rnacentral:rRNA from 1 species